rnacentral:rRNA from 1 species
CCUACGGGAGGCAGCAGUGGGGAAUAUUGCACAAUGGGGGAAACCCUGAUGCAGCCAUGCCGCGUGUGUGAAGAAGGCCUUCGGGUUGUAAAGCACUUUCAGUUGUGAGGAAAGUUUAGUAGUUAAUACCUGCUAGAUGUGACGUUAGCAACAGAAGAAGCACCGGCUAACUCCGUGCCAGCAGCCGCGGUAAUACGGAGGGUGCGAGCGUUAAUCGGAAUUACUGGGCGUAAAGCGCACGCAGGCGGUCUGUUAAGCUAGAUGUGAAAGCCCCGCGCUCAACGUGGGAGGGUCAUUUAAAACUGGCAGACUAGAGUCUUGGAGAGGGGAGUGGAAUUCCAGGUGUAGCGGUGAAAUGCGUAGAGAUCUGGAGGAACAUCAAUGGCGAAGGCAACUCCCUGGCCAAAGACUGACGCUCAUGUGCGAAAGUGUGGGUAGCGAACAGGAUUAGAUACCCUGGUAGUCCACACCGUAAACGCUGUCUACUAGCCGUUUGUGAAUUUAAUUCGUGAGUAGCGAAGCUAACGCGAUAAGUAGACCGCCUGGGGAGUACGGCCGCAAGGUUAAAACUCAAAGGAAUUGACGGA